UGGGGAAUCUUGCGCAAUGGGGGAAACCCUGACGCAGCGACGCCGCGUGCGGGAUGAAGGCCUUCGGGUUGUAAACCGCUUUCAGCAGGGACGAGGCCUUAUGGUGACGGUACCUGCAGAAGAAGCUCCGGCUAAAUACGUGCCAGCAGCCGCGGUAAUACGUAUGGAGCAAGCGUUAUCCGGAUUCAUUGGGCGUAAAGCGCUCGUAGGCGGUCUGUUAGGUCGGCAAGUUAAAUCCGGGGGCUCAACCCCCGUCCGCUUCCGAUACCGGCAGACUUGAGUUUGGUAGGGGAAGGUGGAAUUCCUAGUGUAGCGGUGGAAUGCGCAGAUAUUAGGAAGAACACCGGUGGCGAAGGCGACUUGCUGGGCACAAUCUGACGCUGAGGAACGAAAGCGUGGGGAGCAAACAGG
rnacentral:rRNA from 1 species